rnacentral:rRNA from 1 species
GACGAACCGUGCGAACGUUAUUCGGAAUCACUGGGCUUAAAGCGCGUGUAGGCGGGACGGCACGUCGGCCGCUGAAAUCCCCCGGCUCAACCGGGGAAGGGCGCCGAUACGACCGCCCUGGAGGGACGUAGGGGGGGCUGGAACUUCCGGUGGAGCGGUGAAAUGCGUUGAGAUCGGAAGGAACGCCCGUGGCGAAAGCGAGCCCCUGGACGCUACUGACGCUGAGACGCGAAAGCCAGGGGAGCGAACGG